rnacentral:rRNA from 1 species
AUGCACACGGGCAGGAGGUUUCUUGGAUGUGCUAAUAAGGAAGGCAUAAACUGUGGAGUAGUUCAAUUGAUUGAUUUUGAAUGGCCAGACUCAAUGGAGAAGGCAUUGGCCAAGCUAUGGGAUAUGUAUGAGGAGACUAAGUCAGCUAGGACCAAUGACAAUCUAGAGAGUUCCUUUGCAAUUCACAACCUGACAGAAGAGAAGAAGAAACUACAAGAGAACUAUGACAGUUUGUAUGCUGAUGUGAAUGCUCUUUUGAAUGCCCAGCAGGAGAGGGGUGUGGAGUUAACCAAUCAAAAGGAGCAGAAGCAAUAUCUUGAAGUGAAGAUUGCUGAGCUUGAAACUGUAGUUGGCAACUUGAAGGCAGAGUUGUCAAAGAAAGAGGAGGAGAAGAAGAAACUAUAG